AUGUGGGCUUGGAUAUCUCAAAUACAUUCCUCACUGGACUCAAACAAACACACCGUAAGCAAAAGACAAAAGACAGAAGAUGAGUAUACAAAUGAAAAACACAAACAAAUCUCCAAUACGAGCUGUAGCAGAUAUGCAGCCAGUCUCUGUCGAUGUAGAUCCCAGCUGCUAGGCUCCAAUUUCUUUGAAAACAGUUUUGUUUUCAAAUUGAUGAAUAAAUUUCUUGGCAACAGCACUAACGUCGAGCCUAUAUCCCUUCAGCUGGAACUCUUUCAUCGCAGGGAGGUGCUCCACUCCAGAAAUAGACUGCAAUUUCGCGAACGACCAAACUAUUUUUUGAGCCUCGGGAGCUGCUCCGACACUAAAAGUGAUGCCACUGAUUUUGGGGCAGUCAAUGAGAAGGAAUUUGAGGCUUUUGAACUGUUCCUUUUCAAACUUAAGAGUAAGGAUGUGCUCGCUGAAUGA
rnacentral:rRNA from 1 species